GUAGUUCUAUAUUAGUGAGAUUUUAUAGUAGAAAAAGUCUUUAAAUGCUAUAAAAUUGAAACAGGAGCAGCGUUUAAGUCUUUGUUUGUUUAUAGGUUGGAUACACUCCAGAUUGGAUAUUUCUGCUGAGAAAUGUAAUGCGAAUCAGUCCAGAUCAGGGACAGCAGUUUGCCCAAAUGUUAGUUCAAGAUGAAGAGCCUCUUGCUGACAUCACACAGAUUGUAGAUGUCUUUAUGGAAUACAAUCUAAUUCAGCAGUGUACUGCAUUCUUGCUUGAUGCUCUGAAGAAUAAUCGCCCAUCUGAAGGUCCUUUACAGACGCGGUUACUUGAGAUGAACCUUAUGCAUGCACCUCAAGUUGCAGAUGCAAUUCUAGGCAAUCAGAUGUUCACACAUUAUGACCGGGCUCAUAUUGCUCAACUGUGUGAAAAGGCUGGCCUACUGCAGCGUGCAUUAGAACACUUCACUGAUUUAUAUGAUAUAAAACGUGCAGUGGUUCACACCCAUCUUCUUAACCCUGAGUGGUUAGUCAACUACUUUGGUUCCUUAUCAGUAGAAGACUCCCUAGAAUGUCUCAGAGCCAUGCUGUCUGCCAACAUUCGUCAGAAUCUGCAGAUUUGUGUUCAGGUGGCUUCUAAAUAUCAUGAACAACUGUCAACUCAGUCUCUGAUUGAACUUUUUGAAUCUUUCAAGAGUUUUGAAGGUAAUUAGGAGUUUUUGAAUUUUUUAAAAAAGUAUUUAAGGUAGCCAAGAAGAGGUAUGCUUAUGAUCAGGCUAUUGGAAAUUUUGAUU
rnacentral:sRNA from 1 species